rnacentral:ncRNA from 1 species
UGAGCCAUGCAGCGGAGCUUCCCUGCCGCGAGCGGGGGGCUGAGAGUCGGCCGGAGGCCGAGACGCUUCGAACCUGAUGUGGGUAAUCCCACCGGAAGGGAGCCGUACAUGAAGACGC